GAUGAAGGUUUUCGGAUCGUAAAACUCUGUUGUUAGGGAAGAAACAAGUACCGUUCAAAUAGGGCGGUACCUUGACGGUACCUAACCAAAAAGCCACGGCUAACUACGUGCCACCACCCGCGGUAAUACUUAGGUGGCAAGCGUUGUCCGGAAUUAUUGGGCGUAAAGCGCGCGCAGGCGGUUUCUUAAUUCUGAUGUGAAAGCCCCCGGCUCAACCGGGGAGGGUCAUUGGAAACUGGGGAACUUGAGUGCAGAAAAGGAAAGUGGAAUUCCACGUGUAGCGGUGAAAUGCUUAGAGAUGUGAAGGAACACCAGUGCCAAAGGCAACUCUCUGGUCUGUAACUGACGCUAAGGCGCG
rnacentral:rRNA from 1 species